AGAGUUUGAUCCUGGCUCAGAACGAACGCUGGCGGCAGGCUUAACACAUGCAAGUCGAACGCACCGCAAGGUGAGUGGCAGACGGGUGAGUAACGCGUGGGAACGUGCCCUUCAGUUCGGAAUAACCCAGGGAAACUUGGGCUAAUACCGGAUACGUGCGAGAGCAGAAAGAUUUAUCGCUGAAGGAUCGGCCCGCGUCUGAUUAGCUAGUUGGUAGGGUAAUGGCCUACCAAGGCGACGAUCAGUAGCUGGUCUGAGAGGAUGAUCAGCCACAUUGGGACUGAGACACGGCCCAAACUCCUACGGGAGGCAGCAGUGGGGAAUAUUGGACAAUGGGCGCAAGCCUGAUCCAGCCAUGCCGCGUGAGUGAUGAAGGCCUUAGGGUUGUAAAGCUCUUUCAGCGGGGACGAUAAUGACGGUACCCGCAGAAGAAGCCCCGGCUAACUUCGUGCCAGCAGCCGCGGUAAUACGAAGGGGGCUAGCGUUGUUCGGAAUCACUGGGCGUAAAGGGCGCGUAGGCGGCUUGAUAAGUCGGGGGUGAAAGCCUGUGGCUCAACCACAGAAUUGCCUUCGAUACUGUCUGGCUUGAGACCGGAAGAGGUAAGUGGAACUGCGAGUGUAGAGGUGAAAUUCGUAGAUAUUCGCAAGAACACCAGUGGCGAAGGCGGCUUACUGGUCCGGUUCUGACGCUGANNNNCGAGAGCGUGGGGAGCAAACAGGAUUAGAUACCCUAGUAGUCC
rnacentral:rRNA from 1 species